rnacentral:rRNA from 1 species
CCUACGGGUGGCAGCAGUGGGGAAUAUUGCUCAAUGGGCGAAAGCCUGACGCAGCGACGCCGCGUGAGGGAUGAAGGUCUUCUGAUCGUAAACCUCUGUCAGCAGGGAAGAACGGUCACUGUGCUAAUCAGCAGUGCAUUGACGGUACCUGCAAAGGCAGCACCGGCUCACUCCGUGCCAGCAGCCGCGGUAAUACGGAGGGUGCGAGCGUUAAUCGGAAUUACUGGGCGUAAAGCGCUCGUAGGCGGUAUGUCAAGUCAAGGGUGAAAUCCCCGCGCUCAACGUGGGAACUGCCUUUGAAACUGGCAAACUGGAGUGUGUGAGAGGAGAGUGGAAUUCGAGGUGUAGGAGUGAAAUACGUAGAUAUCGGGAGGAACAUCAGUGGCGAAGGCGACUAGCUGGAACAUAACUGACGCUGAGGAGCGAAAGCGUGGGUAGCAAACAGGAUUAGAUACCCCGGUAGUC